rnacentral:rRNA from 1 species
AGGUUGAACGCUGGCGGCAUGCCUAACACAUGCAAGUCGAACGGGAGUAGCAAUACUCUAGUGGCGGACGGGUGAGGAAUACGUAGGAAUUUGCCCUUAAGUGGGGGAUAACCCGGGGAAACCCGGAUUAAUACCGCAUGACCUCGAAAGAGCAAAGUGGGGGAUCGCAAGACCUCACGCUUUUGGAGAAGCCUACGUCGGAUUAGCUAGUUGGUGAGGUAAUGGCUCACCAAGGCGACGAUCCGUAACUGGUCUGAGAGGAUGAUCAGUCACACCGGAACUGAGACACGGUCCGGACUCCGUACGGGAGCAGCAGUGGGAAUAGUUGGACAAGUCGGG